CGCGCACCCGGUCAGCUCUCUCAGACCUGACAAGCGAAGCGGUCAGACUGGUGGAGGUAAUACCUGCGUGGCUUUUCAACGAUAGUGACAACUGAGGAACACCGAGGCGCUGACACAUCGUGGUGGCUUUAUUUCUGCUGGACAGAUCACCUGCAGAUUUGGAGUCUUUCAUAGCCCUGUACUUCUCACCAGUAUGCGCUGUUUGGACCAUGCUGGUUGGCCUGGAUUACAACCACCAUGUCCACAGUCCAGCCAGGAGAAAAGCUAAUGACACAGUGCAGCAAGGUGUACAAUAAAAGGAAGUGGAGCUUGUACUCAUUGAAGGUGGAGAAGGACUACAGUUACAUCGCAGACCUCCAGAGUGCCAUCCUC